rnacentral:rRNA from 1 species
CUGGGGUAGAGUUUUUUUGUAUUAUUUUUUACUAUUUUUAAUUUAAAAAAUUACUUCGGAGUUAACAGAAAAUCAUAUCUUAUUCAGUUCUUAUGAUAAUGAUAAGUUUUACAUCGAUGUUGUAUCCCGGUUUUGGAGGAGAGGAGAUUGUUUCUUUUUUUAGACUGUUCUUCUAUUAAUAAAUUGGACGUGAUAUUAGUUUU